rnacentral:rRNA from 2 species
ACACGUGACUACAAUGGAUGGUACAACGAGUUGCGAGACCGCGAGGUCAAGCUAAUCUCUUAAAGCCAUUCUCAGUUCGGACUGUAGGCUGCAACUCGCCUACACGAAGUCGGAAUCGCUAGUAAUCGCGGAUCAGCACGCCGCGGUGAAUACGUUCCCGGGCCUUGUACACACCGCCCGUCACACCAUGAGAGUUUGUAACACCCGAAGCCGGGGGCGUAACCCUUUUAGGGAGCGAGCCGUCUAAGGUGGGACAAAUGAUUAGGGUGAAGUCUUAACAAGGUAGCCGUAGGAGAACCUGCGGUUGGAUCACCUC